AGCCCUGGGUCCCUUUUGGGGCCUGAGCCCAUCUCCUGGCAGGAUUUUCUAUAACCGGAAUAUGGUGGUUGCCCCUCUUUUUUUUCCGGCUUCUUAACCCUCAGCUUCCCAGGUGCCUCCAAGACUUUCCUAGAUGGACAGAACUGGGUGAAGUUGAGGAGAGAAGAGUUGGAAGGAGACCCUCCUAUCUGGAGUACAGGAGCCUCAGCAUAAGGUGGACAAGGGGCUGUGUGUGGCGGGCGUGAGCGUGGGGGACCCACACAAGGAGGCCUGCUGGUGGUGGGGGGUGCCAAGUCAAGCUGAGGACAUGUUGACAGGCCAGGAGACAAGACCCUGGAAGAAGGAUGGCCCUUGUCUAGGAGGGUGAUGGACCCUUACACACAUUGAAGGUGAAGGUUUCAACACUUUGCAGAGGAUGCACAAGGCAAAGCCAGGAGGGAGCCCCAAGGCAGUUCUGAUGACCUCUUACGAGUAAAGGAGCUCUCAGCUGGGUGAGCCAGCCAGUAUGUGGCAGAACCAUGA